CUGUUAAGCGAGCCUGAGGGUGGUGAAGGCUUAGCUUGAACCUUGACACAGAUGCUAAUUACGCUUCUCCUACAGCCCAUAGGCCGUCCUUCCUCAUUUCACUUUCACUUUGGAGAACUGUACUGAGGGGCCCAGAAAGCAGAGUCCGGGCCCAGACUUGAAGAGGCCCCAGAAGCCGCACGCGUGCGACCGGGACGGCGGGGCGGGCAGGAGAGCGGGCGCGGGGGAGAGAGUGUUCGUGUGAGGCGUGGAUUCUGGAAUGUGCGUGUGCGCGGCCCCCGAGCACCGCCCGCGCGGCGCCGAUUGGCCGGGGGAGCGCGUCGGGGGAAACCUUUGGCUAAUCUCCUGCCACUCAGCCGGGUCGGGGUCGACGUCGGCGCCGGGCCGCAGCGCCCCGCGCGGAAGGACAAAUAGUCCCGGCGGCGCUGCCGCGCGCCCCUCCAAGGUUCUGCUUGCCCCGCCCGGGGCUGCCGGGGCCCAGAGGCCCGCGCGGCGGGGGAGGGGCGGCCUCCAAGGCCCCUCGACCCCCGCCCCCUCUUCGCCAUCGGACCGGUGGAUUGCGCUCCCUCGGGAAAAGAAAUUGGAUUCCGGGCUCCCUCCAGCCGGGAUCAGCGGAAAUCAGAGGCUGAGGCUGAGCCUGAGGCCGCGCCAGAAAGCUGAGUGGUAACGAAGCAUCAUGAAGAUUGCUCGUCCCGCCCCCCCUCCCCGCCCCGUCCGCUUUUCCGCCUGGCAUGGGACUCCCGCCCUCUCCAAGGAGAUCAUCGUUCUGAAAUUCACCUGGUUGCUGAUCCCUGGGAAGAGAAACUAUUUUGGAAACUUUCAGCCACCACCACCACUUCGUGUUUCUCUUGGACCUGAGAUGAUGAAAGAACCCUAUCCAGUCUGGGACUGGAGAUAUGUCUUAACGCAGUAACUCUGGAGAAAGCAACAUUCUUACCAGAAUCCUCUGGGAAAGAAGAAUAUUUUAAGCCCUCGGUUUAGCAGUAGUAAACUUCCCUAAUUCCCUUUCCCUUGCGGAGGUGGAGCAAAAGUGUGAACUUUAAGCAGAAUUUUUGGCUGAAAUGAUAGGAAUGUUCUAGGAAUUUGAGAGAGUAGCGCAGCCC
ensembl:lncRNA